rnacentral:rRNA from 1 species
UAGGGAAUUUUGCGCAAUGGGCGAAAGCCUGACGCAGCAACGCCGCGUGAUCGAGACGCCCUUCGGGGUGUAAAGAUCUGUCAGUGGGGACGAAACUUGACGGUACCCACAGAGGAAGCACCGGCUAACUCCGUGCCAGCAGCCGCGGUAAUACGGGGGGUGCAAGCGUUGUCCGGAAUCAUUGGGCGUAAAGAGUUCGUAGGCGGCACGUAAAGUCUGGUGUUAAAUUCAGAGGCUCAACUUCUGUACGGCACUGGAUACUUGCGAGCUAGAAUGCGGUAGAGGUAAAGGGAAUUCCUGGUGUAGCGGUGAAAUGCUUAGAUAUCAGGAGGAACAUCGGUGGCGUAAGCGCUUUACUGGGCCGUGAUUGACGCUGAGGAACGAAAGCCAGGGUAGCAAAUGGG